GCUAGUUGUUGGGGUGCUAGUCAUCUCAGUAAUGCAGCUAACGCAUUAAGCAUACCGCCUGGGGAGUACGGUCGCAAGAUUAAAACUCAAAGGAAUAGACGGGGACCCGCACAAGCGGUGGAGCAUGUGGUUUAAUUCGAAGAUACGCGAAGAACCUUACCUAGGCUUGAUAUCCAACAAAUUCUGUAGAGAUACGGAAGUGCUAGCUUGCUAGAAUGUUGAGACAGGUGCUGCACGGCUGUCGUCAGCUCGUGUCGUGAGAUGUUGGGUUAAGUCCCGCAACGAGCGCAACCCUCGUCCUUAGUUGCUAACGAUUCGGUCGAGCACUCUAAGGAGACUGCCUUCGUAAGGAGGAGGAAGGUGGGGACGACGUCAAGUCAUCAUGGCCCUUACGCCUAGGGCGACACACGUGCUACAAUGGCAUAUACAAUGAGACGCAAUACCGCGAGGUGGAGCAAAUCUAUAAAAUAUGUCCCAGUUCGGAUUGUUCUCUGCAACUCGAGAGCAUGAAGCCGGAAUCGCUAGUAAUCGCAAAUCAGCCAUGUUGCGGUGAAUACGUUCCCGGGUCUUGUACUCACCGCCCGUCACACCAUGGGAGUUGAUUUCACUCGAAGUGGAAAUACUAAACUAGUUAUCCCCCACAGUGGAAUCAGCGACUGGGGUGAAGUCGUAACAAGGUAACCGUAGGAGAACCUGCGGUUGGAUCACCUCCUUUCUA
rnacentral:rRNA from 1 species